GGGAGGAGGCUCUGAACAGGCCUUUCAUCCAUGGCCAGAGAUGCCUGGGAAGCACCAUGUGGGGCAGACCCCUUAGAGUCCGAGCAAGAGCCUCUCCCGCCUGUAACUACUCUACAGCCACGACGGCUCUGGCAGAGCCCGAGAAACCCACAAAUACAUCCAUGAAUAUUUAUUCAGCCAGUAAAAAUGUAACAUGCACCAGUUCUAUUCCAUGAGGCUUCUAGGUGCUGGACACAGCAGUGAACCAAGCAGAAGACGCUACCUUCCCAAGCUGCCCGUGACAAUGGAACAAUGGCAGCUCAAGUCAGGAAGGCUGCAGGCAUUUCCCAAUAUGCUGUCUCACGAUGGCCCUGCCACAGCCCUGCGAGAAUCUCCACUCACCAGCAAGGGAAACAGAGGCUCAGAAAGCCCAGCGAGUCAGCCCAAGUGCAGAGAGCUAGGUGACACACCAGAUGUCAUCCAGUCUCUCUGUCACAUCCUCACCCUCAAGGAGGCCUGAUUCUCCAGCUGGCCUGGAGACCUAUUUCAAGCUCCUGACAGAGGAAUGCAUGGCAGAGCAUGUGAAGCGGGGUGUGAUGUGGGGGCAGGGAAUCCAACCCACGAAUUGGAUUUUACAAUGGCACGCCCACUGCUGCCAAGGGGAAGUGGGAAGCAGGAAUUAAAGCAAUGGAGCAAUGGUUUGAGUCACCCUCUCUGCGCCAGAACAUUCUGAGAAAUCGCUGGUUCGUACUCCAAAACUCCUUUCCCUGGGACAGGAGCUCCUCUAUAUCAUCAGAGGCAACGGGGUACCCAGAGGCUGCUUGGAUACCAUCAGUGACAGGGAGCUCACUCCUCUAAGCAUGGUCAGCAAACUGAGGUCUGGAGAGAUGAAGUGACAGGCACAAGCGGAAGCUUCAGGGAGGAAGGCUGCGGGCUGGAGAGAACCUGAGGCUGAGUUUCUUCCAUUUCAUCCAGCGCAUUCACCAAAGCACCCUGUGUGCCGAGGGCAGCGGGGGCCGUACCCUCCCGGAGCUCACGAAUGGGUGAGGGAGAAGCCCCUAGGCGGAGAAACUUACAAUCCCAUGUGGACAUGUGAACUCAGUGAGAGGAGGUGCUGCGGUGAGGGCCACUUCUUGGAGAUUUGGGAAAAGGAGCAGGAUGUUUCUGGCAGUGAGGCUGGGAAGGGCAUCCUUCAUAGCAGAGGGAAGCUGUGAGCAGAGCAGAGGCUGAGGACGACUCCACCCAAGGGGACCGGUGGGGCAGGGGCUGUGCCAGGGCUUGACCCGGAGCUCUGGGCUGUGUCCAGUUCCCUUCAAAUGAGAAAGAAGGCGCCAGAGGUGCAGGGGACAGGGGAUGCCUGCCAGCCAGGCCCCAUCUCCUCUGCUGUUUAGGGACUCGGGUUGGAAUUUCCACGACACUAUUUGGGGGAGGAUGAGGGAGCUGGUGGGAAAUGGGUUUGGGGGCGCGAGGCUUGAUAUCAUUUCUUCCGAUAAAGAGGCAUUGGCUCAGCUUUUCUGUCUUCUGCUUAAUCACUUUCAGAGGCUCAUUAGACUUAGAGGAAAUACACUUGCAAACUCAAACCACAUGCCACCCUCAGAGUACAUACUCCCAUC
rnacentral:lncRNA from 1 species